UNCCAACUGUGCCAUCUCCUCAGCCUUAU
rnacentral:piRNA from 1 species